UCAGCCUCAUCUCAUCAUCUGCGCAGCCUAUCUCUCUCACUCCUCAAUGACUUCACCAAGCCAUCAUCUCCGGAGACUGCCGCUCACAGACAUGCGACAAUCUCUCGGUCUCCGGCUCUCCACCGCUCACAGCCUUGUCUCCGUCUCUCUACCGCUCACAUCCUUGUCCCCGUCUCUCCGCCGCUCACUGCCUCGUCUCUAUCUCUCUUCUUCUCGCCCUCUGACCUUCUCUGUCCCUCUGCUUCUCCGGUAAGUCCCUCUAACCUCAUCUACUCAUACUCAUAGUCUCAAGCUCAAGCAUUCAUUCUUUAACCUCUCUGGCUCUAUACAUAGGAAACCCUAGAUCUACCUGCGAGGCUUCGAAUUUCUAAAAUUUUCCGGUUACCGUCUCUGGCCAUGAAAAUAUAACAGGUUUUUGUUUGGUGAAGCGGCUCGAGCAUGGGCAAACUCCAAAGGUGUUGUUUUACCAAAAACAAUAGCAGAAGCUGAUGUGAGAAGACCAGAAACCUCUGGAAAAAAUAUAAAGGAAUGCUUGAUGGAGCCAAAGCGGUUAAUGAUGUUUCUUCCACAACAGCCAAUUCUGUGAAAACGUGUGCAGUAUCAGAAGCUCAAUUGUGUGACAAAUCAAAUGGAAGCAGAGAUGGUGACCAGUCUUCCUCGCAAAAUGCCCUAGAUUAGAACUGCAUUAGUGACACUAUCGGAGUUAUUUGUGUCGACUCAGAAGGGCACAUGGCAUUUGGGGCUUCAAGUGGCGGUAUUGUCCUGAAGGUAUUCAAACAUCCACGCGUUUGGUUUCU